rnacentral:ncRNA from 1 species
AAAAUUUUUAAUUUCGGUAUCAGCUUCUCAUCGUCAUUCGGACUUCUCCUCAUCACCUCAGCUUGGCGGCUGGGGUUUUU